rnacentral:tRNA from 1 species
GCGCCCAUAGCUCAGCUGGAUAGAGCGUCGGAUUGCGGGUCCGAAGGUCGCACGUUCGAAUCGUGCUGGGCGCGCCA